CUGCAGCCCGAGUGGUGGUCGAUAUUAUUGAGCCUAAAGCGUCCGUAGCCGGACUAGUAAAUUCUUGAGUAAAUCGGGCAGCUUAACUGUCCGACUUCCGAGGAGACUGCUAGUCUUGGGACUGGGAGAGGUCAGAGGUACUCCAGGGGUAGGGGCUAAAUCCUGUAAUCCUUGGGGGACCACCAGUGGCGAAGGCGUCUGACUAGAACGGAUCCGACGGUAAGGGACGAAACCCUGGGGCGCAAACCGGAUUAGAUACCCGAGUAGUCC
rnacentral:rRNA from 1 species